GUAGGAAUGCCAGAGGAAUUUUAUGGGAUUGGUUUAGGACCAAUACACGAUCGUAAGAUCUUCCUACU
rnacentral:tRNA from 1 species